rnacentral:lncRNA from 1 species
AGGGUACAUCUCACUUGGAAAAUGAGAGGAAUAAGCUGCCAAACAAACCUAACCAACCAACCAUCCUCCACUUACUAAACAGGGCUUACUCUCCUUUAUUGCUAAACCAGGAUUGGAUCAAAUUCCUUCUAGACCUGCCUGCCUUUGCAAGUUGAUCUGCAGAAGAAUUAUGCAGCCUGUUUAUGUGAUUUACUAUAACAUUAUACGCCCAACUAGUUGUUGAUCCAGAGCAGCCAAGUCUGUACUUUUUGAAAUGUUGGACCAGUGAAAGAGAGUCCAUGAAAACCGCAAUUUUAUGAGAGCCCAAUGAGCUGGACUGAAAAACAUGAAGAAGGUGGUAAAGGGCCUCCAGUUCUGUAUCAAAUACAGAGGUAUUGUUUGUUGGGCCUGAAAACAAAUAGCGAACUUUCUUUUCUCUGUCUAUUAAGAACCCCCCUAUGCCUGCAGAAGAAAUAUCGUUUAUCUCCUUGUAAGAUCCAUCCACAAAACCAAUGAAGUCCACUACCUUAAGCCAUUUGUCUAUUGUGGUUUUAAGCUUCCUCUUAGAGCUUAACUUAAUAGCGUCGCAAGGGCUUAGAUUUCAGAUACUACUUUCCUGAUUAGACACCUGAUUUUGCCCAGCAAAAAGCUCGAAAUUUUACGAGAGAAUGGACUUGAGGAGCUUUCAGGAAAUUGUUAUUAAAGACCCCGUCAUUUCUAACCGUCCACAACGUCCAAAGCACUGCUGAUAUGCAUAUGCGAACGCCAACUUUGUGAUGCUUGCCAAUACUGAGACAAUUCAUAACAUCAAAAUUAUGAUUAAGGUUAAUAUCGCAGUUAGCCCAUAAUUUCCAUUCAGACCACACCUGUUUUGCAAAAGGACAGUCCCACAGAUCAAUCAUCGUUAAAACCGCAUGCGAAACACAUUAGUUGAUCACACAUUAAUUAUUGCGGCAAAAGGUUUUUUGGAUUAAAAUCAU